UGUGGUCUGAGGUGGCUGCUGUUGGCCUGAGACAGAAUCCAUAUGCCCAGGUUUUAGACUUCAGGAGCGCAGGUUGGAAAAAGAAACAUGAGCAGUGUCUGCUAUUGCUGUUCAUUGCUGUGAUCCCUCAGGGUUCUGGAAUUGUCUGCUUCCUGAAGAGCCUGCCGCUCACUGGCUCAAGCUGUCCCGAUGCCCAAGGGGAUGUCCCAGGUUUGCAGAUGUGCUCUUCCAGCAUCUUCCCUGGAAAUCACAGAACUUCAGGAAUGAAUGGCCUUCUCCUCUUCAUGCUGCCCCUACCUGUUGAUUCAGACGGAUCCUCACUCCACUCUGAGAUGAGGAGAAACGGAAGCCAGCCUUACGCUUUACUCUCCCCUCCCUGAGGAGACAGACUGUACUCAUUGUUGAGGUUGUAUAAGGGUUUGUACCUCUAACAAAGACAUGAAACAGACAAGCCAUAAGAAGCCUUCGUCCUCAACCCCACUGACUCGUCUUUUCCGCUUAGACCCCCUCAGGAAGGAGAAAAGCUAGCUGAGGAGUAAUAGUGGGGUUUUGGAGACGUGAAGGCUUGAGGUUGCAUGCGGUGCUGUUUAGGGGGCCUUUCCUCCCAGAAGUGGAAAACCCAGACUUGAUUGUCUCCCGGGCCUUUGCUCACCGGAGCGGAUGGGAGUGAAGGGGUGAGGAGGGAGAGAAGCUGAGGCAGGGGUAUGUUCAUGGGCUGGUGUUAGGGAUGACCCUUUCUAGCGCUUUCCCGCUUUCCCUUCCCCUUUGCUGCUAGUCCUGCCCCCUAGUGGGUGUAGGCUGAAGGGGCAGGGCUCCCAGACAAGGCACAGUGUGCCCCAGGGAGAGGGCCACACAAGGACAGGAGAAGCGAUGGAAAUUUCAGACGCUAGCAAUCUGGGAGGAGAGAGAGAGUUCCUUCUAGAACUCAGCGGGGGAGACAGAGGAACUUGAUGAUCAUUGCAGUUAUUGCAUAUAUUGCAUAAGGGAUAGGUGGAAGAUUGGCCUGGCUGCCUCGGUGACUAAAAAUAUCGGUCACUGCCUGGACAUGCAUUGCUCACAGACUUGGGUGAGAACGAGAAGGGGAGGACGAUGUUGAAAAUAAGGACGAGGAUGGCUGCCUCCUUGAGUUUUCUGAGCGCCAGGCAGCCAGCCAGCUGGAUCCACGAGAGGCUUCCCCUGCCAGCCUCUUCGCCGCUCUGGGUGGUGGACGUUGUUGUUGUUACUUUCCAGAUGAGACAGUUGAGGCUCAGGGAUCCAAACGAGCUUGCCUAAGGCCAUGGGCUAGUCAGUGCAAGGACAGACCCCACCUCCCCCAGACUGACUCAAAGACGCACGCAGUGUCCUGCUACCUCAUUCAACAGCCCCUCACGAUGCACCAACGGUAAGCCGGCUUCAGCAGGGGUGUACAAAAACGAGGAUGACACCACCGUUACUUUUCAUAAGCUUAUAGUCCAGAGACGCGCCCAGAGGUCCUCACGUCUAUUUCUUCAUUGCAUGAAGCCCAUACCAUUUGGCACCAAAGCCCCUUCUGAGGAUUGGAGAGACUUGUCAUUUGUUUUUCCCAGCUGGGCCACUGUCUUCUCGAAGGAGGCGCGGAGUCCUAUCACCCGGCCAGUGGCCUUAUCUCCUUCCCUGAGGGCAGGACGAAAACACAGGCAAGAACCCAGGGACCUGCCAUGUGCACUGAAGUGCAAGUCUCCGUCUGGUUCUCUGCGAAUGUAGAGCUUUGAAUCCAAUGUAAAAUUCGAUCAAAACUCGGUGAGUUUUGCCCUCCUGCUUCCUGUUAGUACCAAGGGCAGGAGCGACAUCAGGCUUGGCCUAUGAUUUCUCUUCUUUGGAUAUCAACCCAAAGAAUUUCACAGCCUCACUGCACUGCCUAACUCUCUCCCGGACACAGCGCAUCUUUCUCCACCUGUUUUCCCUUCUCAAGCUUCUGCACCUGGAUCAUCUUGCAGACGGAGGGAGGUCGACGCAGGUUACCAUUUCUCUGUCUCAGCUGUUCUGCGGGUCACCUCCCAGCAGCCCUCACGGGGGGAGGACCGUGGCUGUCUCGCUUGCUUUCCGCGGCAUUUCCAACUGCCUUUAAGGUUUUAUCAUUGACACUUUUGAAUAGCACUGUCAUUUUGUUGUCCCAUUCUGGAUGCCGUCAUCUGUAUUCUGAUUUCAUCUCACCUCGAGACCAGGUUGUCCAAGCCUUAUUUACUUAUUUAUUUAUUUUUCCUCUUUUGACUUGAGACAGCUUUUCGUUUGCUCUUCACAUCAGUGGGUAUCUGGGAUGCUGCGGCUUUAACUUUGAAACAUGGUCACGUGCAGCCGGGGUGCUUUUACCGUGGGUCUCAUAGGCUAGUGGAGUGGGGGCUGGGAUCUGGAAGAAGAUCCCCAGGACAAAGACGGCCUUGUCAUUGGUUAUGAGCAAGUGCAAGUCUGUGCUUCGGAGCUGGGGAAGACAGGUUUGAGAAGACUUAGGGAAGGAGAUUCCUCCCGUCAGUGUGGACUCUAUCCCAGAUGCCAGGGAAAGUCUCUGGGAAUUCCCUAGGAUCUGUGCUCAGCUUGAGAGGCUUCCAAGAGACAUUAUCUCAGUACAUUCCAUUUUAAUAAAGAACAUGGAAGAAGACGGCAUCUGGGAAGCAUGUGCAGCCUACAGAACUGAUAUAGGUAAAAAGAAUUCUUUUUGCCUGUGGUAAAUCCGCAACUGCUUGGUCAACAUGGAUUUCUUGCCACUAAAUCUUCAGGGGAAGAGCCUCAAAGGGAAGAGCCUCAAAGGGAGAGGAAUUCAACAUACAAGGCCCCGCGAGGCCACAUCAAUCGUGUAAACUGAGAUGCAUGUGCUGCUGGGUUCCCACUGACCGAGCGUGUUGGCAGCUCCCUCCACCAGCCUGGAAUGCACACAAACCCCGGGGCUGCGCUCCCUCCUUUUAUCACAAAGGAGCUCAUUUUGUGAAUGAACAGCCGCCGCCAGCAGCACGUUGGUAUUCCCAGUGACCUUUGCCCGGGGAUUGGAUUCCCGCCCAGCAGGGAGACCGGGGCCCUAGGAAAAGUUUGAUGUUUUUAGGUAUCAAAGGAAGGUCUCCAGGAACCCUGCAACUAAAGACUUUAAUGAGGACCAUGCCCCAGAAAUCCCGGCUGCCAAAGACAUGAUGAUGAUUUAUGUCGCUCACUCACUCCCUAACAGCAAGAGGACUAUUUGUAAAAAUAAAAAAGCUGCUCAUAUGGAAUUAAACAAGAGCAUAGCUGCUUCCUUCCAGACCCUGGGAGCUUAACAAAGAGCAUCCACACUCCGCGGCCAGCAGCACAUGGCCCAGGGCCGGCCGUCUUCCUGUCACACAGCGCUCAGACAGCCGCGCACGCUCCCUGUCGGCGGACCCCAACAGGCACAUGCCCAGGGAAGCACAAACUCGGGUCGGACACAAAAGGGUCUACACUGACCUCAGGCCUCAGCUGAGCCACCGAAGGGCUCUGAGCAUCAAGAGGUGGGCAGAGGCACAGGCCGCUGCCGUGGUCGCCCCGAGGGCCUGGCCGCAAGAUGGUUAGCGCCCCUCUUUGUUCUUGGUGUCGGACCGCUGAGCGACCCAUGGGUGCCACCUGGGUUCUGGCCAGCUCGCCAAAGGGGGAAGAGAUACAUUCUUAUGCCUCCCUUUCCUCAUGUUAGCUGAGGCCACCGCAGAGUGUUGAUAGCAGUAAGGAGACGAAGCGUAGGACACGUGGAACGCAACGCUGACACCUGCUGAUGAUUAUUAUCCAUCUGUAUUGCGGCUGCCACCAAUGGGGCCGCUCAGACCUCCUGCUGCAGUGACAGUACUUGACCGAGGGACUGGUCUAUGUUCUUGCAGGUCACGAUCGGUCAGGUGCACCACAAAAGAGACCCCAGGGGAGACACAAGAAAACAGUGUGUUAUACUCACGGGACCUAGACAGGGGGUUACCGUAGGGCAUGCAAGG